rnacentral:rRNA from 1 species
GCCUUAGUAACUGCGAGUGAAGCGGCAAAAGCUCAAAUUUGAAAUCUGGCGUCUCAGGCGUCCGACUUGUAAUUUGGAGAGGCACCUUUGGAGUUGGCGCUGUCCCAAGUUCCUUGGAACAGGACGUCGCAGAGGGUGAGAAUCCCGUAUCUGGGCAGCUGUCGAAUCUCCAUUUCAGGGUGUUUUCAACGAGUCGAGUUGUUUGGGAAUGCAGCUCAAAAUGGGUGGUAAAUGUCAUCUAAAGCUAAAUAUUGGCGAGAGACCGAUAGCGCACAAGUAGAGUGAUCGAAAGAUGAAAAGCACUUUGAAAAGAGAGUCAAAAAGUACGUGAAAUUGCUGAAAGGGAAGCGCUUGAGAUCAGACUCAACUCCCUGAUGUUACUCCGGGCUUCUGUCCGGUAAUCUACGUCUUGGAUUGAGCCAGCAUCGGUUCUGGCGGUGGGAUAAAAGGUUGGGGAAUGUAGCUUCCUUCGGGGAGUGUUAGAGUCCCGGCCACAAUGCCACCAGCGAGGACCGAGGACCGCGCUUUGGCUAGGAUGCUGGCGUAAUGGUCUUAAGCGACCCGUCUUGAAACACGGACCAAGGAGUCUAACAUCUAUGCGAGUGUUUGGGUGGAAAACCCUUGCGCGCAAUGAAAGUGAAUGGAGGUGGGAACUUGCAAGAGUGCACCAUCGACCGAUCCGGAUGUCUUCAGAAGGAUUUGAGUAAGAGCAUAGCUGUUGGGACCCGAAAGAUGGUGAACUAUGCCUGAAUAGGGUGAAGCCAGAGGAAACUCUGGUGGAGGCUCGCAGCGGUUCUGACGUGCAAAUCGAUCGUCAAAUUUGGG